GUAACCAUGGACAAUCCCGUUCUCCUUCUUGGAUUAAUAAUCAUAAAAGCCACACUUUACUGAGUCAUGAACAGGUUCAAGGUGCUGAUUGCUCACCACUCACAACAGUUCCUUGAGUCCUCUCUCUUUCAGCCACACCCUGAAUUGUACUCUGUUACCUUAGAAGUAGUGCAUUUGAUGGUUGUUUUGAAAAAAUAAAUGAAUGAAGGAGGACCAGUUCAUAUUACCCUUCAAAAAGGCAUAGACCAUUGGCCAUUCUCUGACCAUCUCAAGCCAGAGGUGACUUGAUCUGUCACCCAGCUGUGGCCCAUGAGCAUUAUCUAAGGAGGAACAUUUUUGCUUACGUUUCCAGUGCUCUACAUAAGCCCUAGGCCCUGGAAAUACUACUUUCAUGGCUCUGGCUAUGAACAUCAGCAUAUAGAGAAUGGAUCACUACCAAAGAAGGCACCCGAAUGUGUCUGUCUCAUCCUGGGGAAACUCAUUCAUCUGUAUAUGUACUCAGCAAGUGUUUCCUGGCACCUGCUCUGGGUCACAGUGCUGGGCACUGGAAGCUGAGAGAUGUGGAAGAAGGCUGGACAUUCAAGAUGAGAAGCCCGAGGCUGGUAAACUAGAGUCCAAGGGCAGAAAGCUGGGACAAUGGCUGGAGGAAGAAAUGAGAGGAUCUCUAUACCCAGGCCUUGGCUUCUAUGUCCCUUCUCGAAGUGGUUGAAGUGCAGAUUUCUGAUUCUGUACCCAGCCUCCAGGGACACAGUACACAGUAUGCUGGGAAUGGCGGUGGGUGUUUGAGGUACAUUACUUCCAGACAAAACAUGGCUGCAGAGGGAUACCAAAAGCAUCUUCUGGUGGCUGAAGCCCUGUCUGCACAAGUGUCUGUGUUCUUCAAUGGUUCAGGCAAGCUCAGACAGACCCUCUGCUUCUCUUAACCUGAGACACUAGUUUCCCCAAGAACUUUGAGCUGAAGGUUCCUUGCUGUGUCCCCUACCUGGCUGUGAGGACUUUGAGUAUAAUUAUCCUAUCUUAUUUGUUGCUGUGCUCCCAGUGUCUUGGAUGGAGCCUGACAUCUAGUCAGUGUUAGUAAAUGUUGAUGUGUAUUGAAUUUUGCAAGGAUCUGCAGCCCUGAGAAGAGGGGAUACUUCUUGGAAACCUCUGUGGGCUAAAUUGAGGGUUAAGGACUGGGACUGGAAGGCAGAGAUUCCAGAGUGAUAACCACAGUAGUUACUAUUUCAUGAGAGCCUCCAUGUGCCAGCCUCUAAGCUAGGCCCAUACCAUGCAUUACCUCUUGUCCCCACUUUACAGAAACUAAGGCUUAGACAAGUUAAGCAACUUGCUAAAGAUCAAACAACUCAAUAUGUGUUGGAGUCAAAUGAACGCAUUUCUUUUCCAUUUCCCUCAUUUACUCCACUAAUGACAGUACUUAAAUUGUAGACUAGGAAUUAAAAUAGCAGAAGCCUGACUUGAGAGGGCAGAGCCCCUGCGUUUGAGUGCCUGAAAGUCAGUCAUGGGUAGAAAGAACAGUCUUGUAGCAGAGCUCUGGGCAAGGGAGGAGCCGUGAGCAGGUGGACAUGAACUCACUGUGACAACUCUCCAACAGUGAAAGCAGGUUCCCAUGGAAUCCAGGGAAAUUACUGAAUAACUUUCAACACAAAAAUGUGUGCUAGUGAGCUGUAGAGCCUUUAUAUCCCCCCAAAACAUAUUAUGGGGGUGGGGGGGGGGCGCGGAAUUCUGAAUUUUUGUUGUUGUUGUUGUUGUUGAGACAGAGUUUUGCUGUUGUUGCCCAGGCUGGAGUGCAAUGGCACAAUCUUGGCUCUCCACAACCUCCGCCUCCUGGAUUCAAGCGAUUCUCCUGCCCCAGCCUCCAGAGUAGGGGCUGGGAUUGUAGACAUGCGCCACCACGCCUGGCUAAUUUUGUAUUUUUAGUAGAGAUAGGGUUUCUGCAUGUUGAUCAGGCUGGUCUCGAACUCCUGACCUCAGGUGAUCCACCCGCCUUGGCCUCCCAAAGUGCUGGGAUUACAGGUGUGUGCCACGGCGCCCGGCCUAAGUAAAUAGUUUGGAAAGCUGCAUCCAAUAGUCUCUUUUGAAGAUUCACAAUGCACCCUAGCUUGUUAACUAUUCCAAGAAGUCCCCGGAAAAGAAUGCUUGUUUGACUUUCUUGAAUCCAGUGUUGCCCAUGUUUAUUUGACUAGUGAGCAGGUUUUUUUGUUUGUUUGUUUGUUUUUUAAGUGACACUUUUUAACACUCUGAGGCAGUAAUAUUGUACUGAACACAUGGGGAAUCUUCUGUGGAAGUUUGGCCUGGAAUACAUCCUCUGUGUUCCUUCUCGCCCCGUGGCUGAGUGAGUGUGCUGUAAAAGCUUAGUGACAGAAAAGCCCCACUUAGCCUAUUUGUGAUGAUUUCCUAAACCGGGCAAAUAACUCAUCUGAAUGGCUGAGGUGAUAAACUCACAGGAGGAGAAGAUGCUGGAGGAAGUGUCAUGUGUCCUGCAUGUAGGUACCACUUCACCUCCCAGCAAGGCGAUGCUGAUAGCAACGUUUUCCUUGGGUGUUGAAUUUUCCAUCCUGCAAUUACGUCUUAAGCCAUAGAUAAAAUUCACAUCCACGUUUCACUCAAGAUAAACCUAACAUCAUAAUAAUACAGAAGAUUAAUUCAUUGGGGAAAAAUAGAAGAAAAUUGGUCUUGGCUUAAAGAGAAGUCAACAUUUAGAAUGUGUAGAAGGGGAUUUCUUCUGGAUCACACUCUGUCCUCAACAGUGGCAUGUGAAAAUGUAUGUGGUUCGCUUUAGUGCAUGCAUGUUUGUGCCUGUCCCACUGACACAUCCACAGUGUGACCCAUAGAGGUCCACUUCUAAGACCCCUAACUCUGAGUCCAACCCACCCUUUUGGGCUCACUGCAGUCAUUUCUCUCUGAAGUCUUCCUUGACAACCUAGGCAUCAUCAGUUUUUCUCUUCUCUGAUCAUCUUAGCAAGUGUAUCCAUAAGCUAUAAUCACAAUCAUGCUGCAUAACAAAACCAAAAACUCAAUGGCCAAUAACAAUGAACAUUUAUUUUUUGUUUUCAUGUCUAGAGGCCAGGUGGGGGGUGGCUGAUCUAAGCUGGGUUUUGCUCUAGGUUAGAUUUAGUCUAGGUUGGCCUCACAUGUCUCUCAUUCUUCAGGUGUCAGGAGGCCACCAUGGGCCUGAUCUUCAGGACAGAUGCCUCUUAAGACUUGGGCUUUGACUCAUACACUGUUACUGCCACCCAUGUCCUGUUGGCCAAAGUCAAUUUCAUUACCAAGCCCAAGAUCUGUGGAGUGGAGAAAUGCAUUUUGAAGGGGAGGGAGUCAAUCUGUAAUGAGCACCAUGAUGUACCAUAGAGCAUUUGUAGUCAUGAGCCUGAUUUAGACACUUGGUGGGGUAUCUCUGUGCUCUUAGGAAUUGUGUCUCUGUGUCUGUCAGAGGUGAUAACAUUGGAGCUGAGCCUUAAAAAAUAAAAGUUUCCUCAAACACCU
rnacentral:lncRNA from 1 species